rnacentral:rRNA from 1 species
AACGAACGCUGGCGGCAUGCCUAACACAUGCAAGUCGAACGAGACCUUCGGGUCUAGUGGCGCACGGGUGCGUAACGCGUGGGAACCUGCCCUUAGGUUCGGAAUAACUCCCCGAAAGGGGUGCUAAUACCGGAUAAUGUCUUCGGACCAAAGAUUUAUCGCCUUUGGAUGGGCCCGCGUUGGAUUAGCUAGUUGGUAGGGUAAAAGCCUACCAAGGCGACGAUCCAUAGCUGGUCUGAGAGGAUGAUCAGCCACACUGGGACUGAGACACGGCCCAGACUCCUACGGGAGGCAGCAGCGGGGAAUAUUGGACAAUGGGCGAAAGCCUGAUCCAGCGAUGCCGCGUGAGUGAUGAAGGCCUUAGGGUUGUAAAGCUCUUUUACCCGGGAUGAUAAUGACAGUACCGGGAGAAUAAGCUCCGGCUAACUCCGUG